GGCUACGGCCAUGCUACCCUGAACAAGACCAAUCCUGUCUGAUCUCAGAAGCUAAGCAGGGUCGGGCCUGGUUAGUACUUGGAUGGGAGACCACCUAGGAAGACCAGGUGCUGUAGGCA
rnacentral:rRNA from 1 species